rnacentral:rRNA from 1 species
UACGUAGGUGGCAAGCGUUAUCCGGAAUUAUUGGGCGUAAAGCGCGCGUAGGCGGUUUUUUAAGUCUGAUGUGAAAGCCCACGGCUCAACCGUGGAGGGUCAUUGGAAACUGGAAAACUUGAGUGCAGAAGAGGAAAGUGGAAUUCCAUGUGUAGCGGUGAAAUGCGCAGAGAUAAUGGAGGAACACCAGUGGCGAAGGCGACUUUCUGGUCUGUAACUGACGCUGAUGUGCGAAAGCGUGGGGAUCAAACAGG